AAAAUCAUUUCUGGUCCUGCUUUGGAAGGACUUCAGCUAAAACAUCUGGGCUCCCAUUUUCUCCUUGCUGUAAUUGACCGGCUGUCUUGUUUCCUUUAGACUGUCCGGUUCCUGAAGAAUUGCACCCUGGAGAUCGGCGUGAAUGAGUGCGACCAGUGGGAGCUGACGAAAGAAAUUGUCUGCCGGCAUUUCCUCCGAAAUUUGGGGGUUGUCGUGCCCCCCCAGGCGCUGACUCUCCCCGAAGAACCCAUCACCAGCCUGGGUAGCUACUGGUGCGAAGUUACGGUCAACAGCCUCGACACCGUCCGCAUCCCCCUCUCGGUGCAGCCGUUUGCCGAGCCAAAAACCAACAGCCAGCGGCUUCGGCUGGCCCAGAAGGAACCGGAAGGCGCCGGCGGAGAAGCGGGACGACUUUGAGGUGCGUCCACUGAAGGAGGGACUUUUCUCCGCGGCGCUAAAACCGGAGCUUAGGAUAUAUAUUUUUUUUCUAGACAAAAACUCCUUUUUGGGGGGGGGGAUUUCCUUCAGCUGGACACGGUGGGUGAAGCCGG